CUUCCCUCGGGGCUCAGGCUCCUGGACAGGCUCAGCCUUGGGCAGCCUUCGCCAGGUCCACAGAGAAUGGCGUUGGGAAGGGUGGACCUGGCGGAUGGGGUGGGGACAGGCGGGCCAGACCCUCCUUCGUACCCCAGCACAGGGCUCCCAAAUGAGAGGUCCCCAGCACUGCCCAGAGGAACUUCUGCGAUUGUGGAAAUGAUUCCUGCCUGCUUUGUCCAUUAGCCACUCCUCCCAGGAAGACACACACACUCACUCACUCCACCUGCCACGAAGGAACUGAACUUCUAACUGUAUUUAAUUCGCAUCUAAAUGGCCACACGUGGUUGGUGGCUGCUGUAGUUGACAGCGCUGCGUGAAGGCUCCGGCGCUUCUCGCACCGCAGGGCCCACAGCACAGACCACACCUGUAGACUUGGAGGAGUGGCAGGGGUGCCAGGAGAAUCCUGCCCUGCCCGUAGCCCCGGAUGAAAGGAUGACAUUGAGUUCGCGACGCUGCGCUCCUCGGGAACACGAACCACACCUGGAAGCAGCCUGCCCCUGUGGCCCCAAGGUUCCCGGGUCCCUUCAGCGGCUGCCCCAGGGGCCUGGCCGGCAGUGUCUGGGAGGGAGCAGCGAUCCCGCCUCCUGGGAUCUCCCGGGCGCCGCCCGGGGAGGAAGCGAGGGGCUGGGGGUGCUGCUCACCCGCUCCGCGCGCCUCGGCUCCCAACACAGCGCCCCGGCCCCGCGCCGCGCUCGAUUCCCCGGCUCCCCGCGCCCCUGGCUCCUGGC
rnacentral:lncRNA from 1 species